GACGAACGCUGGCGGCGUGCUUAACACAUGCAAGUCGAACGGAAAGGCCCUUCGGGGUACUCGAGUGGCGAACGGGUGAGUAACACGUGGGUGAUCUGCCCUGCACUUUGGGAUAAGCCCGGGAAACUGGGUCUAAUACCGAAUAGGACCACGCGCUUCAUGGUGUGUGGUGGAAAGCUUUUGCGGUGUGGGAUGGGCCCGCGGCCUAUCAGCUUGUUGGUGGGGUAAUGGCCUACCAAGGCGACGACGGGUAGCCGGCCUGAGAGGGUGACCGGCCACACUGGGACUGAGAUACGGCCCAGACUCCUACGGGAGGCAGCAGUGGGGAAUAUUGCACAAUGGGCGCAAGCCUGAUGCAGCGACGCCGCGUGAGGGAUGACGGCCUUCGGGUUGUAAACCUCUUUCAAUAGGGACGAAGCGCAAGUGACGGUACCUAUAGAAGAAGCACCGGCCAACUACGUGCCAGCAGCCGCGGUAAUACGUAGGGUGCGAGCGUUGUCCGGAAUUACUGGGCGUAAAGAGCUCGUAGGUGGUUUGUCGCGUUGUUCGUGAAAACUCACAGCUUAACUGUGGGCGUGCGGGCGAUACGGGCAGACUAGAGUACUGCAGGGGAGACUGGAAUUCCUGGUGUAGCGGUGGAAUGCGCAGAUAUCAGGAGGAACACCGGUGGCGAAGGCGGGUCUCUGGGCAGUAACUGACGCUGAGGAGCGAAAGCGUGGGGAGCGAACAGGAUUAGAUACCCUGGUAGUCCACGCCGUAAACGGUGGGUACUAGGUGUGGGUUCCUUCCUUGGGAUCCGUGCCGUAGCUAACGCAUUAAGUACCCCGCCUGGGGAGUACGGCCGCAAGGCUAAAACUCAAAGGAAUUGACGGGGGCCCGCACAAGCGGCGGAGCAUGUGGAUUAAUUCGAUGCAACGCGAAGAACCUUACCUGGGUUUGACAUGCACAGGACGCCGGCAGAGAUGUCGGUUCCCUUGUGGCCUGUGUGCAGGUGGUGCAUGGCUGUCGUCAGCUCGUGUCGUGAGAUGUUGGGUUAAGUCCCGCAACGAGCGCAACCCUUGUCCUAUGUUGCCAGCGGGUUAUGCCGGGGACUCGUAGGAGACUGCCGGGGUCAACUCGGAGGAAGGUGGGGAUGACGUCAAGUCAUCAUGCCCCUUAUGUCCAGGGCUUCACACAUGCUACAAUGGCCGGUACAAAGGGCUGCGAUGCCGUGAGGUGGAGCGAAUCCUUUCAAAGCCGGUCUCAGUUCGGAUCGGGGUCUGCAACUCGACCCCGUGAAGUCGGAGUCGCUAGUAAUCGCAGAUCAGCAACGCUGCGGUGAAUACGUUCCCGGGCCU
rnacentral:rRNA from 1 species